rnacentral:rRNA from 1 species
GAUGAACGCUGGCGGCGUGCCUAAUACAUGCAAGUCGAGCGAACAGACGAGGGGCUUGCUCCUCUGACGUUAGCGGCGGACGGGUGAGUAACACGUGGAUAACCUACCUAUAAGACUGGGAUAACUUCGGGAAACCGGAGCUAAUACCGGAUAAUAUAUUGAACCGCAUGGUUCAAUAGUGAAAGACGGUUUUGCUGUCACUUAUAGAUGGAUCCGCGCCGCAUUAGCUAGUUGGUAAGGUAACGGCUUACCAAGGCAACGAUGCGUAGCCGACCUGAGAGGGUGAUCGGCCACACUGGAACUGAGGCACGGUCCAGACUCCACGGGAGGCAGCAGUAGGGAAUCUUCCGCAAUGGGCGAAAGCCUGACGGAGCAACGCCGCGUGAGUGAUGAAGGUCUUCGGAUCGUAAAACUCUGUUAUUAGGGAAGAACAAAUGUGUAAGUAACUAUGCACGUCUUGACGGUACCUAAUCAGAAAGCCACGGCUAACUACGUG